GACGAACGCUGGCGGCGUGCUUAACACAUGCAAGUCGAACGGAAAGGCCCUGCUUUUGUGGGGUGCUCGAGUGGCGAACGGGUGAGUAACACGUGAGUAACCUGCCCUUGACUUUGGGAUAACUUCAGGAAACUGGGGCUAAUACCGGAUAGGAGCUCCUGCUGCAUGGUGGGGGUUGGAAAGUUUCGGCGGUUGGGGAUGGACUCGCGGCUUAUCAGCUUGUUUGUGGGGUAGUGGCUUACCAAGGCUUUGACGGGUAGCCGGCCUGAGAGGGUGAACGGCCACAUUGGGACUGAGAUACGGCCCAGACUCCUACGGGAGGCAGCAGUGGGGAAUAUUGCACAAUGGGCGGAAGCCUGAGGCAGCAACGCCGCGUGCGGGAUGACGGCCUUCGGGUUGUAAACCGCUUUCGCCUGUGACGAAGCGUGAGUGACGGUAAUGGGUAAAGAAGCACCGGCUAACUACGUG
rnacentral:rRNA from 1 species